rnacentral:misc_RNA from 1 species
AAGUCGUAACAAGGUUUCCGUAGGUGAACCUGCGGAAGGAUCAUUAACGAAUUGUAAAGGAGGUUGAUGCUGGCUAAUUCUUUGUUAACAUGUGCUCGCCUCUGACAAUCCUUAUCCAUACACCUGUGCACCUCUGGAGGGGUUUUCCGCUUGCGGAUUUACACCCCUCUAUUUUACACAAACCCAUUUGUAUAACAUUGAACGUGAAAGAGUGCCGUUAAGGCCUUAAAAUAAAUACAACUUUUAACAACGGAUCUCUUGGCUCUC